AACAAGAUGGCAGAUUAAUGCCAUAGGUUUAAACCCUAUUCACGAGCAAAGCUCUCUUGUUA
rnacentral:tRNA from 1 species